AUCAUUAAAUCUUAGUGAGAUAAAGUAAACAAAGCCCAAUAAUUUACUCAAAUGGAUCAUGAAGAUUAAUGAAAAUUUCAUAAUUUUCUUGAUUUUUCUCUCGUAACUUCAACUCCAAAUAAUAGUAACUAAUAUAGUAUUUUUCUUAAAUAAAAAGAGGACAUAUACUCACAUUUAGGAGAUUAACUUGAUUAUAGCAUCUAAUUUUGAAUCUCUACCUUGAUUUUUAUGCUCUCUAACCCUAAGGAAGAUAAAAAAAAAAAAAAAAACUCUCAUUUUCUUUUCUAUUUCACAAUAGCUAGGUUUUCUCUCUUAAAAUACCUCAGUCACUUUUUUCUUUAGUAAUUAAUCUCUUAAAUAAACUAAUGGACUUUGGUAGUAAUCUUGCCCAAUUAUCAUUUGAGAUGGGCUAUUACAUUCUCUCCUUUUUAUAAAAAGUUUCAUCCUUAAAACUUGAUUUACUUUCAUAUCUUAUUCCUCCAUUUCUCAAAUUACUUCUCUUGCCAUAUGAUUAUUUCAUUGAACUUUUACUAAAGUAAUCAUUUUGCCUCAAAGCUUAUUUUUUCCAAUCAACUAUUCAAAUAAGAUAUUUUGGAUAUGCUAAUGCCUAUAUCAUCUUGAAUUUCUAAAUACUCAUAUCAAACUACACAUCUUGUGUGAAGAACAUAUUUUCUCAACAUAGAUUCAUUAUGUACACUAGAUAUUAAAGGUGGCAAGAUUCUUUUUAUUGAACUUUUUUCACUUUACUAAAAUCAUCAAAUGUCCUUACAUAAUAUAAACUUAACCUUCCUUACUUUAUAAUCCUUGUAAAACUUUUAAUGAUGACACAUUUAAGUACAAAUGACUACCUACUUGAAGCUACAAAUAUUAUCUUUGAAUUCUAGUUUUUUUUUUUUUUUUUGCUUACUUUAAACCAUUUGUAGAUACCCUAUUUUGUCUAGGACUUUUCAUUGAUUGGAGCUUGAUCUAAGCUCGAUUGUAGGUUUUUUAUUCAUUUUAUUUUGGGUUUUAUUUUGUAUUUAUCAUAUUUACUUAUUUAUUUAAAUAUUUAAUGGUUUAUCUUUAAUUUAAUUUUCAUUUUUUUUCAUUACCUAAUUGAUUAAUUAAAAAAAAAAGUUGAAAGUUUGAGAUUAGACUUGGUGAUGAUCAUUAUUAGAAAGUAUAAGGUUAGGUGUUAAAAUUGGAAUUGAGUUGAAACUGUAUCAGUUUUAACUUAUAACUCCUUGCAAUUCACAACAAAAAGGGGACAUGAAUAAAGAAGCAACAAUUUAGAGAUACAUUUUUGAAACGUGCAUGCCUACAAUUGCCUUUAUUUUCAUAUGCCAAAUUCCAACCUAAUCCCUUCACCAUACACACAAAGAAAACAAUGUACGAUGAUCAAAGAGAAAAUCACAAAAAAAAAAACACAGAAAGCAAUUAUUAGCAGUUUUUGAUCACCAUUUCCUCUGCUAGAACACAUUUGUUUUAAUUAAAACCACUCAUCACCAGAAUCCAUAGCUCAAUAGUGUCACUAGUGUUCCAUACCAACAUUAAGCCACCUUUGCUGGCAUGACCACCACCAAAUCCACCAUCUCUUAUUUAGAUUACCCCACCAUCAACAUCGUACUACUAUUGACAGUCAACCUAUUGCCACUACUAGAUUAGCCUAGAUUCCACUAAAAUCAACCCAAAAUAGCCCAAUACUUUCUGCUUUACAAUAGCUUGAAACCAACCCAACAAUUUCAUCAUCACAGACAGUUAAGACUUAUACAACAAAAUGAUAAGAACUAAGGAUAAUCAUUCUAUAUUACCAGAACCAUAGCCAGUACCAUCAUUAGACCAUCAACUCACCACCAUUAGGGUCUCGUCGAACCAUCACCCAUUGUCAGUCAAUCAUGCCAACAUAGGUUCAAGAAGAACAAAUUUAAGUAAAAAACCCAAAGAGAUAAAAAAUGAAACAUAGAGGAUCAAACAAAUUAGAAAAAGAGAGAAGUAAAAGGGGAAACCAAAAACCCAGCUUUAAUAGUAGUGGUGAUAGGCGACGGUUGGUGUGACUUCUAGGAGAUCUGAAUGGUGAGGAUAAAGAGCUCAACAAGAGAAAUAACAUAUUGAAAGUUGGAUAAGAUCUGAUGGUGGAAGAGGCUAAAACAAAAAAGGAAAACCAUGGCUUAAGCUUCAGAUUUACGCCUUUAGGAAGCAAUUUACAACAAAACGAGCCCAUAUUCGAGACGAGAAGAGUGAGAAGCAACGACAAUGAAAAUUUUGGCUGGACCGAUGUUGGAUGGUAGUGGAGUAUGGUAACAUUAGUGGCAGAGUACAACAACACCAGUGGCAGAGUAUGGUAAUGCCAGGGUAGAGUAUGACAGCAUUGGUGCCAAGAUCUAGAAACCCUUAAAGUUUCCAACCUAGGUUCUUCUAUUCAUAGAGAGAUAAAUGGAGAAAAAAAAAGAAAGAGAGAAGGCAAAGGUGAGGUCUGAAGAAAAAGGCUAAACUUUAGCAUUGAUAGCUAAGUAAAACGAUGUCAUUUUGGACAUUAUAAAGAAAGGCAAGAUCUAUAUGUUUCUAAGUGGGUAACCUAACCCAUAGCACGACCCACAUCGAUAACUCGUCUCCUCUCGAUCCACAGAGACAAAAUGUAGGACUAGGACUGGCGCCAACAGUUAAUCACGGAAGAAAGGACUCACUGAGCCGGGAUCACUAACUAAUACUAAUCUAAUACUAAUCUAAUACUAAUCUAAUACUAAUAUAAUAUAAUACUAAUCUAAUACUAUAUAGUCUAAUACUAUAUAGAA
rnacentral:lncRNA from 1 species